AUGAAUACUUCUCUCCGACGAUUCUUGAUCAUUCUCUGCAAUCUUUCUGUAACAGCAUCAUGUUCAUCGCAAGUUCAACGAACAACGCAUAUCAUCAUCACUGUAACAACAAAAAAUUGGCAUCUGCAACAUCACAACAUAACGCAAAAUCACAACAACACGGACGAAUCACACAAAGGCAGAAAAGAAGAAUCGCACAGAAACGAAAAAUGUAGAAGAACGAAGGAGAAGAUUAGAGUGAAGAAUUUACCUCUGGAUUUCUCGCUCGACGUCGUUGUUGAAGAGCCACCGGAGUUCUUCGGUAGAUAA